rnacentral:rRNA from 1 species
UACGUAGGGGGGCAAGCGUUGUCCGGAUUUACUGGGCGUAAAGAGCGCGCAGGCGGUCAGAUAAGUCGAAUGUGAAAGCCCCCGGCUCAACUGGGGAGGGUCAUUCGAUACUGUUCGACUCGAAGGCAGGAGAGGGAAGUGGAAUUCCCGGUGUAGUGGUGAAAUGCGUAGAUAUCGGGAGGAACACCAGUGGCGAAGGCGACUUCCUGGCCUGUUCUUGACGCUGAGGCGCGAAAGCUAGGGGAGCAAACGGGG